UGCUAUACAUGCAGUCGACGAACUCUGGUAUUGAUUGGUGCUUGCAUCAUGAUUUACAUUUGAGUGAGUGGCGAACUGGUGAGUAACACGUGGGAAACCUGCCCAGAAGCGGGGGAUAACACCUGGAAACAGAUGCUAAUACCGCAUAACAACUUGGACCGCAUGGUCCGAGUUUGAAAGAUGGCUUCGGCUAUCACUUUUGGAUGGUCCCGCGGCGUAUUAGCUAGAUGGUGGGGUAACGGCUCACCAUGGCGAUGAUACGUAGCCGACCUGAGAGGGUAAUCGGCCACAUUGGGACUGAGACACGGCCCAAACUCCUACGGGAGGCAGCAGUAGGGAAUCUUCCACAAUGGACGAAAGUCUGAUGGAGCAACGCCGCGUGAGUGAAGAAGGGUUUCGGCUCGUAAAACUCUGUUGUUAAAGAAGAACAUAUCUGAGAGUAACUGUUCAGGUAUUGACGGUAUUUAACCAGAAAGCCACGGCUAACUACGUGCCAGCAGCCGCGGUAAUACGUAGGUGGCAAGCGUUGUCCGGAUUUAUUGGGCGUAAAGCGAGCGCAGGCGGUUUUUUAAGUCUGAUGUGAAAGCCUUCGGCUCAACCGAAGAAGUGCAUCGGAAACUGGGAAACUUGAGUGCAGAAGAGGACAGUGGAACUCCAUGUGUAGCGGUGAAAUGCGUAGAUAUAUGGAAGAACACCAGUGGCGAAGGCGGCUGUCUGGUCUGUAACUGACGCUGAGGCUCGAAAGUAUGGGUAGCAAACAGGAUUAGAUACCCUGGUAGUCCAUACCGUAAACGAUGAAUGCUAAGUGUUGGAGGGUUUCCGCCCUUCAGUGCUGCAGCUAACGCAUUAAGCAUUCCGCCUGGGGAGUACGGCCGCAAGGCUGAAACUCAAAGGAAUUGACGGGGGCCCGCACAAGCGGUGGAGCAUGUGGUUUAAUUCGAAGCUACGCGAAGAACCUUACCAGGUCUUGACAUACUAUGCAAAUCUAAGAGAUUAGACGUUCCCUUCGGGGACAUGGAU
rnacentral:rRNA from 2 species